GGAUUGGGAACAUCGAUCGAUAUGUCCAUGAAAACUAUUCAAAAGUACUGGAUCCCAGUUAUGAAGUAGAUAUGCCUUGUCCUGAUGUUUAUUGGUUCCCAGUCAUUACUUUAAUAUUUUGCAAGCAUUUAAUAGAUGAAAUGGAAAAUUUUGGUCAGUGGUCUGAUGGAUCAAACAAUUAUCCUCGUCUAGCUGGAGGUUAUGAAAAUGUACCAGCAAGAGAUAUUCACAUGAGUCAAGUUGGCCUUGAACAGCAGUGGCUUUGAGAGUAAAUAAGACCUGUCCAAGAGAACGUUUUCUUAGGGUAUACUCAUGAUUAUUUUAGUAGCAUCAUCUAAGAAAUAGAUGUAUGAGUGUGAUUAUGGCAAAGCCUCGAGGGCUAUCUGCCUAAGGGGAGAGAUUCCUUCAUGGAGGAAACUGUCUCGUAUACACGUUACACAUGGGGAAAACCACGAAAACGCCCAUGCAGCCAGCCCGUUUGUGGGAUUCGAACCUCGGACCGAACUACUAGUGUUCAGCGACUUUACCACUCAGCUACUGGUGGGUCUAAGAAAUAGGGAGGUGGUUGCCGUUUUAUUCGCUGCAGCUGCAGUGUGACAGAAUUAAGAUUAGGGUGGUCUCUCAUGCAUCCUGGACGCCUCACUCACUACCAUGAAGGUCUUCCUGUUACAAAUGGAACUCAUAACAUCAUGAUAUUAUUUGUUGAUCCAUAAUGUGCCAAAUUUGCCAAAAAAAAAUAAUGGUAGAUUAUAAACUUUUGUGGAAAUGGCAAAACUGCCAAUCUUUCCCCAUUUGGUCGCAUGGUACUAGCUUAAUGCUUUAUUUUAUGCUUCAACUUUUAAAUAAGUACCUCACAAAAAAGUUUAAUUUUUUGUGGAAUAUUUAGUUGGGCCAGUAUGUUUGUUUCUAAAAUUAAUUGUUAAGUAAAUGUGUCAUGUGACUUUUUAAACUGAAUGUAACAAUUGUGCCUUGGCAAUAGUUGUCAGAUGCCUCUCUUUAUACUUUUUUUAUCUGUGUUAUUUUUCUUCUCCUCAGUUAGAGUUAAUUUUUUUAAAAUUAACUCUUAUUAAUUUAUACCUUAAACUCACUACAAUAUGUUGGAAUUUAUUAUAAUGUAAGCCAUAUAAGGUUUAAAAAUGUGAUUCAAAUGCAUUUAUCUAGUACUUAAAUAUGUUGUAGAUAUACCAAAAGGAGUACCGUGGAUUCCUUUGAAUAGUGUAAAGCUAUAUUUUCUAUCGCAUUAUUAUUUGUUAUUUGAAGAAUUCUAUAAAAAUAUAUGUUAGAAGAUAAUGGCUGAAUAUUUGCUUUCUCUUAACUACCAUAUGCAUAAAAAGCAUUUUCUUUGGUUGUGUUAUUGUGAAAUGGAUGAAUUAAUUGGUUGAAUUCAUUGAGUGCAGACUUUACAUUUGCUGUUCAUUCUUCACAAAUUUAUACAAAUAAAUAUAUGUGUGCUCUUCAUUUUUCCUUGGCAACUAGCAUUUUACAUUUUAUUGAUGUUACUAUAUAUAUAUUUCAGUCAUAUCUACUUACUUUUAUUUAAUUUUUGUUACCAAAUUAUACUUAUAUCAUUUGUAUAGUAAAUACUUUUAUAUUUGGUUGAGAAAAAUUCAGCGAUUGUAUAAAUUUUUAUUGAUUGAUUGUCUUCCGUUGGUUAUCUUCCUUAUAUACUAGAAUUAAAGUUGGUUAAAUAUUGCAUAAAAACAAAAGUGAGAUUUGAGAAAGUAGCAAUAAAUAAAGCUUGAACAGAAGAAUAUAUUCAUGUUAUCAGUUACAGCAAUUUUAUCAUUUACCAUAAAAAUGUAAAAUUAUUCCAAAAAAAUUUAACAUUUGACUUUUUUUUUUUUUUUUUUUUUGUUUUUUUUUUU